UUUAUACUCCCUCUGUCCAGAAAUAUUCGUCGUAGAAAUGGAUGUAUCUAGCCGUAUUUUAGUUCUAGAUACAUCCAUUUCUCCGACAAGUAUUUCCGGACGGUGGGAUUAUUAU
rnacentral:pre_miRNA from 1 species